AGGACGAACGCUGGCGGCGUGCUUAACACAUGCAAGUCGAGCGGUAAGGCCCUUUCGGGGGUACACGAGCGGCGAACGGGUGAGUAACACGUGGGUGACCUGCCCUUAGCUCUGGGAUAAGCCUGGGAAACUGGGUCUAAUACCGGAUAUGACCUCGCGAUGCAUGUCGUGGGGUGGAAAGCCUUGUGCGGCUAGGGAUGGGCCCGCGGCCUAUCAGCUUGUUGGUGGGGUGAUGGCCUACCAAGGCGACGACGGGUAGCCGGCCUGAGAGGGCGACCGGCCACACUGGGACUGAGACACGGCCCAGACUCCUACGGGAGACAGCAGUGGGGAAUCUUGCGCAAUGGGCGAAAGCCUGACGCAGCGACGCCGCGUGAGGGAUGACGGCCUUCGGUUGUAAACCUCUUCAGCCCUGACGAAGCGAAAGUGACGGUAGGGCGAGAAGAAGCACCGGCCAACUACGCGCCAGCAGCCGCGGUA
rnacentral:rRNA from 1 species